GCAGAGAGAGAGAGAGAGAGAGAGAGAGAGAUCGGAGCCAUGGCCGCCGUUUCGUCCCCUGACCGGAAGGAAGGCCGUCGUGUCGCGUGGAAGGAUUGUCUUCUGGAAGUGGUUCCAUUUUAACUCAGAGAUUCAUAAGUUAGGAGGCCUGCCCCGCCCUUCUUGGAGCUCCUAUGCUAUGGCACUGCACUGUCUGGAGACAGAGGGGAGGGACGAGGAGGGUACGGUCAAAGUACACAGAAAUCCCGGGACGUCCCCACCCGAUACUGUAGGCCCUACUACACACCAUCGACGAUCCAAACCAUAUCUGGCUCUCAACUCCCAGAACUUUUCAACAUGCGCCGGUGCUUUGGGGAGGGUCUUCCCCACGUGUCUCUUUAUUAUAUUAUUAUAGCAUUUUGUCCAUGUUCUUCCCAAGCUUGUUCAUCCUCCAAUGUCGUAAGUACAUACAUCAGCUUGCUUAUGUCCUUAAAUUCUUACGUGUGUGUUUCUAUCAAUAUAUUAUGAUAUGAUUUCUCUACAAUGUCUUCAAUGUCCAUGUAUUGGGAGUUCUGGCGGAGGUUGCAGGACCUGGCCUUGAUUUCCUCCUGCUUUACGACCUGCGAAGACAUGAUGAUGAUGAGGUAUUGCGUUUUUUCUUCUUUGAUUUAGGAGGUACCCUACACUGGCUGGCCCGGCUUCUUGGAGCUGCUUUGCUAUGCUUGCACUUUUCGGUAUCAAUCCACUUUGUUUGGGCCAUUUCAAACGGUGGAACUCGUAGAGUCUUUUAUGAAUUAUCAGAAUUUAAGAGAGUUGGUAAUAUUCUAUGUUGCUGUAAGAGUAUCCAUGAACGUGUCCGGUGAAUUGACUGAUGCACACAUCUGUUGCUUACGGACUUCCUCUUGCAUUUUGUCAUCAUCCAAAUGAAGAAUGUCGUCUUUUUUAUAGACAUUGGUUUGGGUUGUUUGUCUUCCUUUUAAAAUUGGCACAUCAGCUUUAACCACCUAUACGUUGAGCUUGAAACAAAUGAAUUUAGCUUCAUUUGGAUGUUAUGCUUAGUGCAGCAUUGAAUGUAGUUGUUUUUUCAUGAACCGGACAUCUAUUACCUGGUUGCAGGAAAACAUAAGACGAUGCGUCUGCAUCUUUUAUGAUCCAUCAAGAUCCAACCAAGGUGUUCUAGCUUUGAGUGCAUUGAAACUCUCUGAUUCAUUUAUGAAACUUUACCCCAGUAACAACUUUACUGGAGAGAUGUAUCCAUUUCUUUGCACAUUCUCUUUACAAUGACGGAAACUAUAAAAUUUA